UGGGGAAUCUUGGACAAUGGGCGCAAGCCUGAUCCAGCCAUGCCGCGUGGAUGAUGAAGGCCUUCGGGUUGUAAAGCUCUUUUACCAGGGACGAUAAUGACGGUACCUGGAGAAUAAGCCCCGGCAAACUUCGUGCCAGUAGCCGCGGUAAUACGAAGGGGGCUAGCGUUGUUCGGAAUUACUGGGCGUAAAGCGCACGUAGGCGGAUUGUUAAGUCAGAGGUGAAAUCCCGGAGCUCAACUUCGGAACUGCCUUUGAUACUGGCAAUCUAGAGUCCGGAAGAGGUUAGUGGAAUUCCCAGUGUAGAGGUGAAAUUCGUAGAUAUUAGGAAGAACACCAGUGGCGAAGGCGGCUCACUGGAUCGGUACUGACGCUGAGGUGCGAAAGCGUGGGGAGCAAACAGGAUUAGAUACCCCUGUAGUCCCUGAGCGGGCUGGCAAGGCGCAU
rnacentral:rRNA from 1 species